AUUGAACGCUGGCGGCAUGCUUUACACAUGCAAGUCGAACGGUAACAGGGAGCUUGCUCCGCUGACGAGUGGCGAACGGGUGAGUAAUGCGUCGGAACGUGCCGAGUAGUGGGGGAUAACGCAUCGAAAGGUGUGCUAAUACCGCAUACGAACUGAGGUUGAAAGUGGGGGACCUUCGGGCCUCACGCUAUUCGAGCGGCCGACGUCUGAUUAGCUAGUUGGUGAGGUAAAGGCUCACCAAGGCGACGAUCAGUAGCGGGUCUGAGAGGAUGAUCCGCCAAACUGGGACUGGGACACGGCCCAGACUCCUACGGGAGGCAGCAGUGGGGAAUUUUGGACAAUGGGCGCAAGCCUGAUCCAGCCAUGCCGCGUGUCUGAAGAAGGCCUUCGGGUUGUAAAGGACUUUUGUCCGGGAGCAAAUGCUGGUGGCUAACAUCCACCGGAGCUGAGAGUACCGGAAGAAUAAGCACCGGCUAACUACGUGCCAGCCGCCGCAGUAAAAC
rnacentral:rRNA from 1 species